rnacentral:piRNA from 1 species
UGUCUAUUGAUAAGACAGAAAACCUA